rnacentral:tRNA from 1 species
GGAGAGAUGGCUCAGCAGUUAAGAGCACUUGCGGCUCUUACAGAUGAUCUGGAUUCAAUUCCCAGUCUCUACC